rnacentral:rRNA from 1 species
UAGGGAAUCUUCCGCAAUGGACGCAAGUCUGACGGAGCAACGCCGCGUGAGUGAAGAAGGAUUUCGGUUCGUAAAACUCUGUUGUUAGAGAAGAAUAGCGCAUAGAGUAACUGUUAUGCGUGUGACGGUAUCUAACCAGAAAGCCACGGCUAACUACGUGCCAGCAGCCGCGGUAAUACGUAGGUGGCAAGCGUUGUCCGGAUUUAUUGGGCGUAAAGCGAGCGCAGGCGGUCAAUUAAGUCUGAAGUGAAAGGCAGUGGCUCAACCAUUGUAGGCUUUGGAAACUGUUUAACUUGAGUGCAGAAGGGGAGAGUGGAAUUCCAUGUGUAGCGGUGAAAUGCGUAGAUAUAUGGAGGAACACCGGUGGCGAAAGCGGCUCUCUGGUCUGUAACUGACGCUGAGGCUCGAAAGCGUGGGGAGCGAACAGG